rnacentral:rRNA from 1 species
UACGUAGGUGGCAAGCGUUGUCCGGAAUUAUUGGGCGUAAAGCGCGCGCAGGCGGUUAUGUAAGUCUGAUGUUAAAGCCCGGGGCUCAACCUCCGUUCGCAUUGGAAACUGUGUAACUUGAGUGCAGAAGAGGAAAGUGGUAUUCCACGUGUAGCGGUGAAAUGCGUAGAGAUGUGGAGGAAAACCAGUGGCGAAGGCGACUUUCUGGUCUGUAACUGAAGCUGGGGCGCGAAAGGGUGGGGAGCAAACAGG